AUUUAUUUCAUUUUUAGUAUUUAUUUUAAGCCAAAUGUUUUUGUCUUUUUGAUUCAUUUUUAUGAUGCUAAUUUGUAGACACUUAGUAAAGUCUUAUGAGAAGCAAGUGGCCGGAGCAAUUUCUAAAUCCACUCAGUGGACUGGGAAUUUUCUUUCAAUUCCAAUUUCCAAAGGUUUACGAUUGACCAAUGGCCAAAGGCUGCCAUCUGAGCUAUUCUCUAGGGCGUUUUGAUUGACUACUGUAUGGAAACAGAGUGUGAAGUUCAGGGUGCAUUCUCCGUGCGCCUCUGUCAUCCAGCGUCCUGGCAAUCAGUCCUUCACGUCCCCAGGCUGCCUCGCCAUGCUGGUUUGUCUCCAGAAAGGCUGGAAAUGUACUGAGUUGUCCAUGAUCAGGAGUUCCAGACACACUGUAAGGGGAAAAAUAGUAGCAAAGGACAAAUUCUUUUUUCUGUGUAAAAACAUCAAUCCUUUGGGAGUGGGGAGGGAAAUGGUUAUAGGGCAAUAUUAACUCUAGCAGUUUUAGUUUCUGAGAUUCCAUAACCUCAGUAGGAACCAGCACAAAUUUCAGCUUUUCAGUCACCACCGCACUCUCCUCAACAAGAUAAGGCUUUCUCGAUCUGUAUACAACUUGAUCAGGCUCUCCUGAAGCCCACCCACCCCAGGUAAGUGGUGGUGCUCACUUCCCUGAUGAGGUCCGCACCUGGUCCCACCUUCCCUGGCUCCAGACUCCACACUCACGCCCAGGAGACCAACCAAGGGAACGGUUCGCACCACCGUGUCCCACGAAGCUGUUUCGAUGUUUAGUUUAGGUAUUGCUAACUUGUGCUAUUAACCUCUGACAAGCGUGUAGUAUUGUUUGUUUUGGUUUACUUUUUAUUUGUAACCACUUAGGAGUCCCAGCUAGCUACCAGUACAGAUUUUACCCCAUGGGUAGGAUUCUAUUGUUAAGCUACAUAACAAAGCACACUAAUCCUGACACUGCAAAUGGAAAAAUAUGAACCAAAAAAAAAAAAAAAUUACACCAAUAAGUUGAUCAAACUGUCCGUUUUUGAUAUUUGCAUGCUCCCCUCUGAACUGGCUGUGGCAAUGUAAUGCCUGUAUAAUGUUUUCAAAUAAAAAUAAAUGCUUUAUGAAAGCA
rnacentral:lncRNA from 1 species